rnacentral:lncRNA from 1 species
UUCAGAUUUGGGGCAAAGAAAGGACCUGGUCCGAUUGCCAUGGCACAUCUCCAGCGUAGCUUUCUCUGCUAGGCGUCAACUCAAACUUUCUCCUUCCCCCGUUUCAAGUCAAGAAGGAACAGGAAAAUGUCUUUGUAGGUGGGGAGAAAAUUCAGAGCCAACUUUAAGCACCGCUUGCUGAAACCAUCUAUUUUUGGCCGCCAAGCAUCCGUUCCUCCUCCUAACAUAUCAG